ACUGAAUAAUAUUUAGAACAACAACCAAUAGAUAUAUAACAAAAUUUGACUUUGGAUUCCCUAUUAUUACUCUAAGACUGACACCUAUCCACAAUCCACUAACAGUCUUUUUGGACUUAAUUGAAAUGUCAAUACUAAUCUAGGGAUCUCCAUUGGCAUAAUUUAAUACUACAACUUGAAUUUAAACAUAGACCAAUUGUAAAAUUAAAAACUUCAGAAAGUCGUAACAAUCCAUCCUCCUUCAGAGCCUGGUCCUUAAGUUUCAUCAAAAUCUGGGAACUGGGACCUGAUGAAAUUGUAGUCUUCCCAAGUAGCUUCUCCAGGUAGUAAGUUGGCACACUGAAAAACUUGAGUUAUGGCUUUACUUCCCUUUUUUCUCCAUUAUCCUAUCCAGUACAACAACAUGUUCUACCAAAGGUUGUCCCUCUAGAGAACUGAUAGGUGAAUCAAUUAAAGAUAUAGUCUGAGGUCUCACCUUCUUCUUGGGUUGAGAAAUGUGAAAUACAAGAUGUAUCUUAGCCGAAGGGGGCAACUUCAACUUCUAUGCAACAGGUCCAACUUUUUGAAUAAUCUACUAAGGGCCAUAAACCUUAGAAGCCAACUUCAAACUCCUUUUUACUGCCACAAAUAUUUGUCUGUAUGAUUGUAGCUUAAAAAUAAAUCAGUCACAUACUUCAAACUUUCUCUCAGUCCUCUUCUCGCCAGCAUAAAUUUUCAUUAUGUUCUGAGCCUUUUUCGGGUUUUCACCACUUUGGCCAUCACCUGUCUUUUCUUAAGUAUCUCAUCAGUAGCAGCUACUCUAGUCUGUGCAACCAACUCAAAGGAUAAUUGUAGAGGAUCAUAACCAUAUAUUACCUUGAAACUAGUCAUCUUCAAUGAAAUAUGAUCUUGGAGUCGAGCUACUGUGGAUGAAGAAGACUAGCAUUGAAGUUUUACUAGCGUUCCAUAUACAAGUUCUAGAUGGCAUUUGAUGUGACCUGUCAGUCGAGAAAAUUGUACCGGGUGAGACGAGGUUAUUGUUGCCGAAAUUAGUGCAAUGGGAUUUGUAUAAGGUAUGUUUGGAAGAAGAAGACUGCCAUUAGUCAGUGAGGAAUUUGGCAAUAGUUCUUGUCGGACAAGAGAACACCAUGACUUUUUGAUAUGAUAGUUGAUUAUGAGUUUCUAUAUGUUUCUUUCAUUGAUAGCACUCUUAGAAAAUGUUUGAAACGAGGUUUUAAUUGAUAUGAGGUAUAUUAUCGGUGUCGGAUUUAGUAAUUAGCAGCUUUUGUGGUCGAAAGAUAUUGCAAUGAGUACAAGAGUUAUGUGGUA